GACGAACGCUGGCGGCGUGCUUAACACAUGCAAGUCGAACGGAAAGGCCCUGCUUUUGUGGGGUGCUCGAGUGGCGAACGGGUGAGUAACACGUGAGUAACCUGCCCUUGACUUUGGGAUAACUUCAGGAAACUGGGGCUAAUACCGGAUAGGAUCUCCUGCUGCAUGGUGGGGGUUGGAAAGUUUCGGCGGUUGGGGAUGGACUCGCGGCUUAUCAGCUUGUUGGUGGGGUAGUGGCUUACCAAGGCUUUGACGGGUAGCCGGCCUGAGAGGGUGACCGGGCACAUUGGGACUGAGAUACGGACCAGACUCCUACGGGAGGCAGCAGUGGGGAAUAUUGCACAAUGGGAGGAAGCCUGAGGCAGAAACGCCGCGUGCGGGAUGACGGCCUUCGGGUUGUAAACCGCUUUCGCCUGUGACGAAGCGUGAGUGACGGUAAUGGGUAAAGAAGCACCGGCUAACUACGUG
rnacentral:rRNA from 1 species